UCUACUUUCUCGUCUCCUGCUCCUGACCCUUCCCGGGAUCCGUGAUGCCGAGGCAGCUGCAAGGAGCGACGAACGGUCGGGGUUGAGCCCCAAGUGAGCAGAGGGCUUGCGCUCUUCUGGCCCUAUCCUCCGGGCCCGCCCCACUUGAAGAAAUGAGUGGUGGAUUGGCCCCAAGUAAAAGCACAGUGUAUGUAUCCAAUCUGCCCUUUUCCCUGACCAACAAUGACUUAUAUCGGAUAUUUUCCAAGUAUGGCAAAGUUGUAAAGUAAGUAUAUCAGAUUCUGAAACUUCAUUUAAAAGUCUAUCUUAAUUUUCUUCUCCAUUAUUUUCUUAAUGAAAGUAGAUUUACUAUAUUUUUGUAAAACAGAUAUUUGAUAUAAAAAAUAAAAAUACUGUUAACAUUUUGUGAGUAUUUAAUUUUUUAAUAUAUAUAAAUAUCUAUAGACAAAUCUUAAACGACUCAAUUCUAUGCAUGCAAUUUUAUUUCCUUUUUUUAACUUGACAUAUUGUAAAUAGCUUUCCAUGUACUAUAUAGAUACAUGCCUGUAGCUAAUGAUUUCAUGGUAGUCCUUUAUGUUGUUAUUUAGUUAUUAGUUAUUAUUUGUUAUAAUUAUUAAUGUAAUUUUGUACCAUAUUAUUAAGAACUGAAACUGAUUCUGUUAUCCAAUAUAAGACAUAAAAGCUCAGAUUAAAUGUAAAUAUCAGUUAGUAGAAGGUAUGUUAGCAAGUAUACUAUAAAUGGAUUAUUAUUUGCCAAACAAUGUAAAAACAAAAACCACUGACUCUUGAACAGGGUUAAUGAGAGGAUAAAGUAAAAACAAGAUAGUGUUACUCUAUCUUAUAACUAACAUAUGUAUAUGUUUUAGUAUAAAUUUAAAGUCAUAUUUAAAAUCCCAUGAAUUUAGAGCAUAUUUAUCUUGACUACUUGUUUUUGUUUAGUUUUUGAUAAAUGUAUGUUAAACAGUUGAAGUUCAUCUGCAUCCUGAAGUUAACAUAUUUUGAAAUUACUUCUCCGUUAAAAAAAAUCAUCAGAAAUACUACUAGGUCAAUUUUGAGGUCUUCAGAAUUUCAAACAGUGAUCGUUAUCAAUCAGAACACUAAUAAUAAUGAUAUGAAACAAUGAGCACAUGCUAGGCAUUGUUCUAAUAUGUGCGCAUGCGUGCGCUCAGUCAUGUCUGACUCUUAUUGUGACCCCAUGGACUA